UACGUAGGGUGCGAGCGUUAAUCGGAAUUACUGGGCGUAAAGGGUGCGUAGGCGGAUAUAUAAGUUAGAUGUGAAAAGCCCGGGCUCAACCUUGGUCGUGCAUUUAAGACUGUAUGUCUAGAGUUUGUAAGAGGGGGGUAGAAUUCCAAGUGUAGCAGUGAAAUGCGUAGAGAUUUGGAGGAAUACCGAUGGCGAAGGCAGCUCCCUGGUAUAGAACUGACGCUGAGGCACGAAAGCGUGGGUAGCAAACAGG
rnacentral:rRNA from 1 species